GGUGGGUUGGCUUAGUGGUUAGAGCUCAGGUCUCGUAACCAGAAGGUCUCGGGAUCGAAUCCCGCUAGAGGCUG
rnacentral:tRNA from 1 species